UCGAGAAUUUUUCUCAAUGGGGGAAACCCUGAAGGAGCGACGCCGCGUGGAGGAUGAAGGCUUUCGGGUUGUAAACUCCUGUCAUUAGGGAACAAUGUGCACCCGUUAACUGCGGAUGCAUUGAUAGUACCUGAAGAGGAAGGGACGGCUAACUCUGUGCCAGCAGCCGCGGUAAUACAGAGGUCCCAAGCGUUGUUCGGAUUCAUUGGGCGUAAAGGGUGCGUAGGUGGUGCCGUAAGUUGGAUGUGAAAUCUCGGGGCUUAACCCCGAAACUGCAUUCAAUACUGCGGCGCUCGAGUACUGGAGAGGAGACUGGAAUUCACGGUGUAGCAGUGAAAUGCGUAGAUAUCGUGAGGAAGGCCAGUGGCGAAGGCGGGUCUCUGGACAGUUACUGACACUGAGGCACGAAGGCCAGGGGAGCAAACGG
rnacentral:rRNA from 1 species